rnacentral:rRNA from 1 species
AUUGAACGCUGGCGGCAUGCCUUACACAUGCAAGUCGAACGGUAACAGGUCUUCGGAUGCUGACGAGUGGCGAACGGGUGAGUAAUACAUCGGAACGUGCCCGAUCGUGGGGGAUAACGAGGCGAAAGCUUUGCUAAUACCGCAUACGAUCUACGGAUGAAAGCGGGGGAUCUUCGGACCUCGCGCGGACGGAGCGGCCGAUGGCAGAUUAGGUAGUUGGUGGGAUAAAAGCUUACCAAGCCGACGAUCUGUAGCUGGUCUGAGAGGAUGAUCAGCCACAUUGGGACUGAGACACGGCCCAGACUCCUACGGGAGGCAGCAGUGGGGAAUUUUGGACAAUAGGCGAAAGCCUGAUCCAGCCAUGCCGCGUGCAGGAUGAAGGCCUUCGGGUUGUAAACUGCUUUUGUACGGAACGAAAAGCCUCUUUCUAAUAAAGAGGGGUCAUGACGGUACCGUAAGAAUAAGCACCGGCUAACUACGUG